ensembl:processed_transcript
AACGCGAUUCCUCUAACCUAGGUCGUAGAAUAUUCAAUAAAUCAAUGGGGAAAAUAAGUUGUAUGAAAAAAAAUUAAGUAUUUUUUAAAAUGAUGCUGUUAUUAAGUCCCCUGUGUGCCGUGUUUCCAGUUCACGCGCGCGCGCGAACACACACACGCCCGACUUAACCACUUACAAGCAAGGUUCUAGAAGCAGAACGGUGGACUUUGGGGAUGAAGAAGAAUUUACUACCUGUUUUGGAAGAACUAGCAGAGUGAGUAAUCUGUUUUACAGAUACUUCCUCAGCCACAUUCACCACUGUGUUCAUAAUAGCUGGGAACUGGAAACAACCUAAAAGCUUUCUUUCUCUGAUUUGUGGAUGCUAGAUCUGAAUCUUAAGAGUGAUCAGAAUAUAGGAUGGAUUGUCUGUGUGCAGGUUGGAUGUUAGCAAAUGCUCAAUACACAAGAAUAAGAUAGAGGGGCAGACUGAAGCUGAUAACCCAAUUGCUACAUUACAAGUAAACAUGAGUAACCGCAAGAGACUCAACUAGCCUUUUAUUUCAGGAAGCAACCAAGCUGUUCAAAGACUGGAGAGAAGAAAGGUGCAGAAGUAAAUGGCACUUCACAAAGACUUAGUGGACUUCAGGGAAGACACGAUAAC